AUCCGAGCCUAGAAACAUGGAUAUAAACUUUCAAAAACAAGUGAAACGCCCCUCAAGUUUUAUACAUAGGAGAAAAGCAAAGAGAGUCAGAGAAGGCAAAUAGCAAUGGUGAAAGAUCUGAGCAACGAUCAAAUAUCCUCCAUGAGGGAGGCAUUCACUCUCUUUGACACCAGCGACGACGGCAAAAUUGCUCCAUCGGAGCUAGGGAUCCUAAUGAGAUCACUCGGUGGUAACCCGACCCAAGCCCAACUCAAAUCAAUAAUCGCCGAGGAAAAACUCACCUCGUCGUUCGAUUUCAACCGAAUUUUAGACCUCAUGUCAAAACACCUCAAACCGGAGCCAUUUGAUCGCCAAUUGCGCGACGCGUUCAAGGUCCUUGAUAAAGACGACACUGGUUUCGUCGUCGUUUCUGAUCUAAAGCAUAUUUUAACGAGUAUUGGUGAGAAGCUUGAGCCUGCGGAAUUUGAUGAGUGGAUCCGAGAGGUUGUUGUUGGAUCCGAUGGGAAGAUCCGGUAUGAGGAUUUCAUUGGUAGGAUGGUUGCCAAGUGAUAUUUGCAUGUGAGUCCUUCUAUCUUUUAGCAUUUGAUGAAACCCCCCCUGAAAGUUUUAUACUUGCAGAGUUUGUUCCAAUAUUUUCUUUAAGCUUGUUAUUCAUGUUGUUUGCGUGGGUUAUGUAUACCAGUUUGUGUAAAUUCAAAAAUAUUGCAGUGCAAAAAUAUUGCUUAACUAAUUUCCUUUCCUAUAAUGAUAGGAAUAGGAAAGCAUGUCAACCAGGGAAAGCAUUGUCUAUAUAUAUUUUUGCCCAAAGUUGCUCCUCAGUAUUACUACUCUCUCAUUCUCUAUACACAGAGUAAUUUCAAGAAAAAGGAAAUAUGGAAAAGAGAAUUGUGUGAAGAAAUUAAACAAGCCAAGUUGAUGUUACAAGGCCAAAGAGAAAACAUAAAAAGGACUUUGGAUCUAGAAACAGAAAGAGAAAUUUCACUGCCGAUGGGUGAAGAAUUUGAUAAACAACAAAUCAACAAGAAAAAACAGACAUGGGAAAAGGAAUUGUGUGAAGAGUUAAACAAAGCCAAGUUGAAGUUACAAGGCCAAAGAAAAAACAUAAAAGAGAUCGAAAAAGCCAAGUCGAAGAAGCGUUUCUAGUGUUUAUUCUUUUCUUAAACUCUGUAUAGUUUAGGAGUUGUUUAAUUUUCUUAUCUACCAAUUUUAAAUGAUGAAUCAAAAUUUGAUUAAUACUUGUCAGAUU